CCGCGCGGCCGUGCGCCUCCCGGGGCCCCGGGCCGGACGUCCCGCCACCUGCCGGAGGGCGGCCCCGCGCUUCCCCGGGAGCCCCCGGCCCCGCUGCCGGACUUCGGGAAACUACAGCAGGGUGGAUCUGGAGUGAACUCAGCAAUGUACCGAAACCAAGAACACAGAAACAACUGCUUCUUCCAGCCACUUGACGUACCACCCAGAAGGCAAUGUGGAAAGGAGGAAAGAGUGAAGAUUUUAAAGUCAGACAAGCCUGGGUCUGUCAUCCAAUUAUUAUAUGCCCGUGGGUCUUUUUUUAAAACUUACUUCACAGAGUGGUGGAGAUUUAAUGACAUAAUAAAUGAGUAAUUUCAGCUACUCCCA